rnacentral:rRNA from 1 species
AUUGAACGCUGGCGGCAGGCCUAACACAUGCAAGUCGAGCGAGCGGCGGACGGGUGAGUAAUGUAUGGGGACUGCCCGAUAGAGGGGGAUAACUACUGGAAACGGUGGCUAAUACAGCAUACUAUCGGAUAACCCAUAUGGGAUUAGAUAGUAGGUGAGGUAACGGCUCACCAAGGCCACGAUGCGUAGCCGACCUGAGAGGAUGAUCAGCCACACUGGGACUGAGACACGGCCCAGACUCCUCCGGAGGCAGCAGUGGGGAAUAUUGCACAAUGGUCGCAAGCCUGAUGCAGACAUGCCGCGUGUAUGAAGAAGGCCUUAGGGUUGUAAAGUACUUUCAGCGGGGAGGCGUUACCCGCAGAAGAAGCACCGGCUAAUUCCGUGCCAGCAGCCGCGGUAAUAC